GCCGGGGUGGCCGAGCCAGGUCCAAGGCGAUCUCCGCAGUAUCGACUACGGAGACCUUUACGGGCCUGCUAAGUCCGUCCCCGCAAGGGGGCCCGGGUUCAAAUCCCGGCCCCGGCA
rnacentral:tRNA from 1 species